AAUCAGGUCCCAGAGGCAGCGCUGUCCUCAGCCUAGCCAGUGCUGCCUGCAAAAGGAGGGAGAAAGGGAGGAGAGGGGGGAGCUGUGUCUGGGAAGGCGAGACGAGACGGGAGCCAAUCAGAGACCAGAGUCAGCUUUGUCUUCUUUGAGGUAGAGCAUCCUCUGAUUGUGGGUGGGUGGGAGAGAGAAGCUGCGCCUAGGAAGUCAGCCUCUGCUACACCUCCGAAAGGGUGCUGGUUUCUUUCUUUUUUUCUUUCUUUUUCUUUUUUCUAUGUGCUCAGUAGGCUAAAGUAUUGGGAAGGACAGGUUAAUUAGUGAUCAGUGACAAAAUAUAUUCCUGCAUUUAUAGACAACCAUAUAUUUAGAUCAGCACAAAGGUGAUGCUCUCCAUGAAAGGGUAGCCCCCGAGCCACCCAGCCAGAGAGCAAAGGAGAAAAUAGAGUCAGAGGCAUUUAGGGUUAGAGUCGAAGGCGGAGGUGGAGGCGGAGUCCAAGGCGCAUUAGUGUCAUAGAAAUAUUGUACAGCCCGGAGCAGAGGUGACGCUUUGAGUGAAAUCCCAGGUCUUCAAACAACCUGACCAUCGCGGAAGGUGCCAGGACAGUAUCUCAUUUGCCUGAAAACAAAAAGAAAAAAAAGUAAGAAAAUAAAAUCUUGUAGCAACUGCUGUCCCUUCAUCAGCACAGCAUUGAUGGUUUGAAUGAAAACCCAGGUCUUCAAACACUCACGCAAUCUUGCAAGGUGAAAGAUCGUACUUCAUUUCCCUGAAAACAAUAAGGACAGAAACGAAGGGGAAGAAAAACUUGUAAUACCCCGCAAUCCAUUCAUCAGUAUGGACGGAACCAAGAUGGCGGAUUAGGGGCAGCCACCCAACUGAACUCUCCCAACAUUCCCCUGCAAUCAACUUUAAAAUAACUCCUCAAAUCAAAUUUUGGAGCAGCAGAGUCAACAAAAGGUUGGGGUGAGACAUUUUUCGGGACUGAGAAAAUCUAAGCGGUCAGCAGAAGUUUGUGACACUGGGGUGGAAGCCCACAGGUGCUGACAGUAGCAGUGUCCACAGCAGUAGCUUCAGGACCUCUUUGCCCAAAGACAGUAAGGGGGUUGGACAAUUCAUCAGAAAGAGAUUACAGAAGACCCUUUGCUAGUGCUGGGUAUAGCUGGAACUGAUUGGCAACUCUGUUAUAUAUUUUCUGUUCUGGGCCACAAUUCCAGGGUGGUGAGGAGCCCUGGUGGUUGGUUACAAGGGAGCAAGGGCCCUUGCUCCAAAGCAAAUAGUGCUAGCUCUUUGGCUAUAGGGGACCAGGGGUGUUUCCCAGAUAAAUAUCAUAGCAUAGACCUGGAGAGCAGUGACUACACUUCUCCCAGGUUCAUACCACUUUGAAAGCACCAAAAACUUGCAGACCCACAGAAACAGAAGCACAAAAAAGCCUAAAGCUUGGCACAGUGUUUCCCCACUGUAGCACAAGUUGAAAAUCAAGAAAUAGAGUGAGGGAAUGAGCAAACAGAAAAAGAGCUUCACCAUAAGAAAUUCUCAGAUUGGAAGAGAAGACCACGACAAAAAGGGAGAAGAAGACUACAACAUGAAAUCUGCUUCAAAGAAAGGCUCAAAGAAAAAUGCUAACUGGUCCCACCCUGACCAAGAUUUUAUAGAUGAGUUAAAAAAGGAGGUAAGAGUAGUAGAGGAAAAAUUGGGAAAAGAAAUGAGAGUUAUGCAAGAAAAUUAUGAAAAGAAAGUUAGCAGCUUGGUUAGAGAGGCACAAAAAAAUACUGAAGAAAAUAGCACCUUAAAAAACAAAUUAGGCCAAAUGGUAAAAGAGGCACAAAAAUCCGCUGAAGAGAAGAACUCCUUAAAAAUCAAAAUUGGCAUAAUGGAAAAGGAUGUACGAAAAUUCACUGAUGAAAAGAAUUUCU